GAUUUGAGUAAACUGGGGGACUGGGCACUCAAUUGGCAGAUGAAAAUUAAUGCAGAAAAAUGCAAAGGUAUGCACUUGGGGGUAGAGAAUGCAUCAGCAACUUUUACCCUAAAUGGUAGUGAAUUAUGGAUAGUUGGUGCCGAAACGUUGGGGGGGUUUGGUGACUCGUGUUUCUGUCUUGAGGCUUGUAAGAAUUUUUGUGGUAAUUUAUUAUUUUACUGUAUUUGCCCUUGCUUCUGUCACUUUGUUUAUUUUUUUUUAUAUGUUUUCACUCUGG